GGAUGGCUAAUACCGCAUAAGACCGAGGCGACGGGAGUUGCCUAGGGUGAAAGGGAGACGCAAGCUUCCACCGAGGGAAGAGCCUGCGUCCCAUUAGCUAGUUGCGGGGUAAAAGCCCACCAAGGCAGAGAUGGGUAGCUGGUCUGAGAGGACGAUCAGCCACACUGGGACUGAGACACGGCCCAGACUCCUACGGGAGGCAGCAGUGGGGAAUAUUGCGCAAUGGGGAAACCCUGACGCAGCAACGCCGCGUGGGCGAAGAAGGCCUUCGGGUUGUAAAGCCCUGUCAGGUGGAACGAAAGGCGUCCGUGAGAACAUCACGGGUGCGUGACGGUACCAUCAGAGGAAGCACCGGCUAACUCCGUGCCAGCAGCCGCGGUAAUACGGAGGGUGCGAGCGUUGCUCGGAAUUACUGGGCGUAAAGCGUGCGCAGGCGGC
rnacentral:rRNA from 1 species